AAUGAACUGGCCAGCAGUUUCCGAAAUUCUCACUGCAGUUUCUCUGAGGAAUUGCAGACACUGUGUUUUUGGUUGGCUUGGUAGUACAGAUUUUCAUCGUAAAAUUAACUGCACAGAACAACUUAAUUCAAAGGAAUGAUAGACAAGAAACAGAGAAGGAGAGAAAGAAGGAGAGAAGGAAAGAAAGGAGGAAAGGAAAAAGAAGUGGCACAGAACUGCCUGUCUGUGCAGUCACACCUCACAGCGUGGAUACUCCUUAAAGCCAGUAGAAAUAGACAGUAGAAAAUGGAAGAAUUUCAUCUUUGUUAACUGCAUUUCUCAAUGAAGUAUGGAUUUAUCCACCUACCUGCAACUUCUGCAUCAAUAUUCCUCAAUCCUCUUUUU